rnacentral:rRNA from 1 species
AGAGUUUGAUCAUGGCUCAGAUUGAACGCUGGCGGAAUGCUUUACACAUGCAAGUCGAACGGCAGCACGGGUGCUUGCACCUGGUGGCGAGUGGCGAACGGGUGAGUAAUGCACCGGAACGUACCCAGUAAUGGGGGAUAACACAUCGAAAGAUGUGCUAAUACCGCAUACGCCCUGAGGGGGAAAGCGGGGGAUCGUAAGACCUCGCGUUAUUGGAGCGGCCGAUGCCGGAUUAGCUAGUUGGUGAGGUAAGAGCUCACCAAGGCGACGAUCCGUAGCUGGUCUGAGAGGACGACCAGCCACACUGGGACUGAGACACGGCCCAGACUCCUACGGGAGGCAGCAGUGGGGAAUUUUGGACAAUGGGGGAAACCCUGAUCCAGCCAUUCCGCGUGAGUGAAGAAGGCCUUCGGGUUGUAAAGCUCUUUCGCAAGGAAAGAAAACUUAUCUACUAAUACUAGGUGAGGUUGACGGUACCUUGAUAAGAAGCACCGGCUAACUACGUGCCAGCAGCCGCGGUAAUACGUAGGGUGCGAGCGUUAAUCGGAAUUACUGGGCGUAAAGCGUGCGCAGGCGGUUCGACAAGUCUGAUGUGAAAUCCCCGGGCUCAACCUGGGAACUGCGUUGGAAACUGUCGGGCUAGAGUGUAGAAGAGGGGGGUAGAAUUCCACGUGUAGCAGUGAAAUGCGUAGAGAUGUGG